GCUGGGUGCGGUGUCGCGUGCCUGUAGUCCCAGCUAUUUGGGAGGCUGAGGCUGGAGGAUCUCUUGAAUCCAGGAGUUCUGGGCUGUAGUGUGCUAUGCUGAUCGGUUGACUGCACUAAGUUCGGCGUCAAUAUGGUGACCUCCCGGGAGCGGGAGACCACCAGGUUGCCUAAGGAGGGGUGAACCGGCCCAGGUCGGAAACGGAGCAGGUCAAAACUCCCAUGCUGAUCAGUAGUGGGAUCGCGCCUGUGAAUAGCCACUGCACUGCAGCCUGGGCAAUAUAGCGAGACCCCGUCUCU
ensembl:misc_RNA Metazoa_SRP Metazoan signal recognition particle RNA